GACGAACGCUGGCGGCGCGCCUAACACAUGCAAGUCGAACGGAGCUGAGAGAAGCUUGCUUUUCUUAGCUUAGUGGCGAACGGGUGAGUAACGCGUGAGUAACCUGCCCUGGAGUGGGGGACAACAGUUGGAAACGACUGCUAAUACCGCAUAAGCCCACGAUCCGGCAUCGGAUUGAGGGAAAAGGAUUUAUUCGCUUCAGGAUGGACUCGCGUCCAAUUAGCUAGUUGGUGAGGUAACGGCCCACCAAGGCGACGAUUGGUAGCCGGACUGAGAGGUUGAACGGCCACAUUGGGACUGAGACACGGCCCAGACUCCUACGGGAGGCAGCAGUGGGGGAUAUGGCACAAUGGGGGAAACCCUGAUGCAGCGACGCCGCGUGGAGGAAGAAGGUUUUCGGAUUGUAAACUCCUGUCGUUAGGGACGAUAAUGACGGGACCUAACAAGAAAGCACCGGCUAACUACGU
rnacentral:rRNA from 1 species